GACGAACGCUGGCGGCGUGCUUAACACAUGCAAGUCGAACGGAAAGGCCCUGCUUUUGUGGGGUUCUCGAGUGGCGAACGGGUGAGUAACACGUGAGUAACCUGCCCUUGACUGUGGGAUAACUUCAGGAAACUGGGGCUAAUACCGGAUAGGAGCUCCUGCUGCAUGGGGGGGGUUGGAAAGUUUCGGCGGUUGGGGAUGGACGCGCGGCUUAUCAGCUGGUUGGUGGGGUAGUGGCUUACCAAGGCUUUGACGGGUAGCCGGCCUGGGAGGGUGACCGGCCACCUUGGGACUGCGGUACGGCCCAGACUCCUACGGGAGGCAGCAGUGGGGAACAUUGCCCAAUGGGCGGACGCCUGAUGCAGCAGCGCCGCGUGCGGGAUGACGGCCUUCGGGUUGUAAACCGCUUUCGCCUGUGACGAAGCGUGUGUGACGGUAAUGGGUAAAGAAGCACCGGCUAACUACGUG
rnacentral:rRNA from 1 species